AUUGAACGCUGGCGGAAUGCUUUACACAUGCAAGUCGAGCGGCAGCGCAGGGGCAACCCUGGCGGCGAGCGGCGAACGGGUGAGUAACAUAUCGGAACGUACCCCGUCGUGGGGGAUAACUAUCCGAAAGGAUAGCUAAUACCGCAUACGACCUGAGGGUGAAAGCGGGGGACCGUAAGGCCUCGCGCGAUGGGAGCGGCCGAUAUCGGAUUAGCUAGUUGGUGAGGUAAAGGCUCACCAAGGCGACGAUCCGUAGCUGGUCUGAGAGGACGACCAGCCACACUGGAACUGAGACACGGUCCAGACUCCUACGGGAGGCAGCAGUGGGGAAUUUUGGACAAUGGACGAAAGUCUGAUCCAGCAAUGCCGCGUGCAGGACGAAGGCCUUCGGGUUGGUAAACUAGCUUUGUUACAGAACGAAAAAGUACUUUAAUAACACUAGAGGCUCAUGACGGUAC
rnacentral:rRNA from 1 species